rnacentral:tRNA from 1 species
GCACUCGUAGCUCAGCUGGAUAGAGCAUCCGCCUUCUAAGCGGACGGUCAAAGGUUCGAAUCCUUUCGAGUGCG